GGCAGCAGAAAGGGGCUGCAGUGUGGAAGCCUGCAGUCGCUCUCUAGCCUUAGAGAGGGAAAGGGGGGGAAACCAAGGGGAGAAGAGAAAUCCUGGCCCUGAGGAAAGGGUCUGAUAGAGGUAUAGUAAGAGCAGCCUAGGGAAAUAGUAGCAAGGUUUGGGACAGUGCAGACCUUGGCUGCUGGUUGUAGGGUCCCUGGGCUGGAACUUGGAGUAGUGGGUAGGCCCAGUUUCCUUUACUAGCUACUGGAGAGGCUGCACAGAUCAGUUAGUGAAGCAGAAGACUGCCUAGGAAAAUCAUCUAGUGGGACUUUGGUCCCCUGGAAGGGGGAAACAUACAGUGACUUGGCCAGAAGGCCAAGUCAUGAAGAGAGAGCACACUGAAUUGCAGAGAGACAGAAAGAGAUGUGUGAAUGAGUGACAGCAGGGGGCAUUGGAUGUAAGUGAAGCUAAUCCCCAGAGCAGCCAGGAGGAGGUGCACCUAAUGCCAACCAGGAAUUACCCUACCUGAGACAGAUGAGUGUGGCUUCUCACCUGGGAGUUACUUCCAAAGUACUUUGAAAGACAAUAAGGCACAGUGCCAGUGGGAGAAGAAGCAGCAGGACAAUUCCUUCAAGACAGACUCCAUUUUCCUUACCUCACAGCUGGAAAUAGACUGGUAGUAUCCUUCAGAAGCAUCCAUUUCAAUGAUUCAAUAGACUAUUAAAGAGAUGGGUACAAGUUCCAAGUUGUCUAUCUUACACCUAAGAAGACAAAGGUACCAGGCCUUUGAUUUUAGGAGAUGGAUCCUGACUAGGAGUUUAGUCAGUCAUCGUGAUGAAAUCAGCACCCUGAACCAAGUCUACCUUGUUAAAUUGUAAUCACUAGAAAGCAUUUUAUCUUUGUUUCUCUCUUAAUCAUUUUUGACUUUAAUCCUUAUACUUGUAUCAAUUUAAAAUCAAACUUGUUUUAUUUUUAAUUUAAACCAUUCUAGUGCUGUUUGACCUGAACUGUUUGGAAAUUCCAGUUUCCGGUAAACUGUUGAAUACUGACUCUUUAAAGAAGCAACAAACCAUAACGUUCCUCUUUGUUCCAGGACAGAGCUGGAUAUUUCAGAAGACACGUUCUGGGGGAAAUUUGGGGCUGAGGAAAGUUUGAUGUCACCUUACCAGUUGUUAACCAAGGCUGCUGGAGACCAGUGGAAGUCUAUGAUAUUGCAGCCAGGUUCCUGGAUCCAAAGCAUUUGAUCAUGGCUGCUCAAUACAUAGACCUAGGGUGCAUGCUUGUUGCUGACUAUGAGUAGCCUGUCAGAGCUACAAUAGCAAAGCCUUUAAGGCACUAAAGGGCUAUGGGUAAGAGGUGACACAACUCUUUACUGAUCCGGCUUGUACCCCAGAACAUGACAGCUGCCUGUAAUAAGUUACAUCCCUGGGCAAAUGGCUUGGUAGCAACUAACUAGGUGCUGAUUGUCUGGCAGCGGUGCCCUCAGACACUCUUCCUGGGGUACACCCAAAACCCCCUCCUGCCAGCUCCCAGGUGCAGGCACUCACCACAGCUCCCCUCCCCCUACUUGUAGGAGCGCUUAAGGCUGUUGCUGAGUGAAUACUGUGGGCAGAGCAGAGGGGACAUGGGCAGUUGGGGGGAGGGGACCCCUGGCACAGAAGCUGGCCCCAUAGCUGCAGUGAGGAGCAGUUAUGCUGGCUGCCUGCUCAGGUUUGGUGUGGAAGCCCUCCAUCAUGACGGGGAAGGGGAUUGCAGCAGGGCCAAAACUGAGUGACAUUGUGACCUGGUGCAUGAGGGCCACAGUGCUACUCAGGUUUGGCCCCCACAGCCUCUCUUUCACAAUGGAGGGUCUGAGGGCAAACCUGAGUGGGCACUGGGGCAGCCAACACUGCUUCUCCUCAACUUGGCACCCCUGCCAAUGGUACACACUGUGCGUAACAUGCGUACAGCUGUGGGUACCACUGGUGACCAGCCUUACUUCCCCUGCCCCCACUUCUGUGCGGGGACCGAGCACAGUUGCCGUGCCAGUGCUGUGAGCUCUCCCUC